rnacentral:lncRNA from 1 species
UUGUUCAUCCUAGCUACAGGUUUCUCAAUUUUGUUAAUCUUUUCAAAGAACCACGUUUUGGCUUUGUUUUCUCUACUGUUGUUCUCUAUUCGGUAAUUUCUGCUAUUUUAUUGUUUCCUUCCUUCUUCUUAGGUUGGGUUUAUCUGUGUUCUUUGAUUCCUAGCUCCUCAUGGUGGAAUUUUGAUUUAUUUAGACCUUUCCUCUAUUCUAAUAUAAGCAUUCCUCUAUUAAUGUAAUCUAACACAAGCAUUCCUCUCUGAGGAACUGCUUUAGCUGCAUGCCAGAUUUUGAUAUGUUGCAUUUUCAUUUUCAUUUAGUUUACAAUAGUUUCUAAUCUCUCUUGUGACUUCCUCUUUGACCCAUGGAUUUUUUAGAAAUAUGUUGUUUAAUUUCUAAAUAUUUGGGGUUUUGCUGGGUAUCUCAUUGUUGUUGAUUUCUAAUGAACUUCUAGCUUCACAGCUCAGCUCAAAUACUCCCCUCACACUACACCUCCUUUGGGUCAGAAUUCGACCAUAAGCUUCAUGAGGAUAUGGGCCAUGUUCUCCCAUUUACUUAAUGCUGUGAUUAGCCAGUGAUUAGCUCAGUGCCUGCCCACAGGAUGUACUCAAGAAACAUUGGUCAAAUGUGUUGAUGAUGUCCUCCUGUAUAUUUUCUAAAUGCUUUGUUACUGUCUGUGUAACUGAAUUAGAGUCACCCAAGUAUAAAUCUGCCUCACUACAGUGGGAACUUGGGCACAGCAGGAACCUGAUUUUUGUCAUCUCUCUACGGCUUUGUCCUAGGUUGUUGACACAUUCUGGGGGCGUUUACUGAAGGAUGUCUAAGCAAUAGCUUUAUACAGAAAAUCUAGGUCUUUUAUGCAACAUUGAUGGGACUGUAUGAUGGGGCUCUUGGUUUCGGAAUGUGGAUGACAUAACCAUUGCUAUACUUAACAGCGGACACUGGAUGGGAAAAGUCAAUUACCCCUGAUGAAAUAAUAUGCUUCCACCAUUAAUCCAUAACAUUCAUCCAGUUGUUCCUUUUCUAUGACUGCUUGUCACAGCAGAACCGCAUUGGUGCUUUUCUCAAUAACUUUCUUUAAUUUGUACUGUGUUUUAAGAAUGUUUUCUGCCUUAUAUAUUUAUUGAUUGCUUUUCCUUAGAAUGAGUUGCUUUGGGGUCUCAAUCUAUCUGUGUUUUUUGUUGGUUUCCUCAAAUUCAUUUUCAAAGUAGGUGGGAUCAAUCACUCAUAUAAUCAAUCACAUAGGCUGUCAAUAAAGUUUUGCUGAACAGGACUGUCAUCAUCCCAUUAGGGAGCUAAUCAGAAACCUUAUCUUCCAGUGCUUGGUGAAGAAAACGGGAACUUUUCCUGUGUACUAGCGAAUGUGACGGGAAAAGGGAGCCCCUGGGACCGAGGUGGGACUGAGGGCAGAGUCAGCUACGUGGCUGUCUCACCUUGGGAGAGGGUUCUAAGAGCCCUGGGCUGGGGCUCAGUUAAUUGGUUCCAGUGCUUCCUUCUUCCCUGAAGGGAUACGCGUCUUCCCUUAGGCCAUUAAGGAAGGCUGGA